rnacentral:rRNA from 1 species
GACGAACGCUGGCGGCGUGCCUAAUACAUGCAAGUAGAACGCUGAAGGAAGGAGCUUGCUCUUUCCGGAUGAGUUGCGAACGGGUGAGUAACGCGUAGGUAACCUGCCUGGUAGCGGGGGAUAACUAUUGGAAACGAUAGCUAAUACCGCAUAACAGUAGAUAUCGCAUGAUAGCUACUUGAAAGGUGCAAUUGCACCACUACCAGAUGGACCUGCGUUGUAUUAGCUAGUUGGUGAGGUAACGGCUCACCAAGGCGACGAUACAUAGCCGACCUGAGAGGGUGAUCGGCCACACUGGGACUGAGACACGGCCCAGACUCCUACGGGAGGCAGCAGUAGGGAAUCUUCGGCAAUGGACGGAAGUCUGACCGAGCAACGCCGCGUGAGUGGAGAAGGUUUUCGGAUCGUAAAGCUCUGUUGUAAGAGAAGAACGAGUGUGAGAGUGGAAAGUUCACACUGUGACGGGUCUACCAGA